GCGUGCCUAAUACAUGCAAGUCGAGCGAGCUGCCUAUUGAAAUUCUUCGGAAUGGACAUAGAUACAAGCUAGCGGCGGAUGGGUGAGUAACGCGUGGGUAACCUGCCCUUAAGUCUGGGAUACCAUUUGGAAACAGAUGCUAAUACCGGAUAAAAGCUACUUUCGCAUGAAAGAAGUUUAAAAGGCGGCGUAAGCUGCGCUAAAGGAUGGACCUGCGAUGCAUUAGCUAGUUGGUAAGGUAACGGCUUACCAAGGCGAUGAUGCAUAGCCGAGUUGAGAGACUGAUCGGCCACAUUGGGACUGAGACACGGCCCAAACUCCUACGGGAGGCAGCAGUAGGGAAUCUUCCACAAUGGACGCAAGUCUGAUGGAGCAACGCCGCGUGAGUGAAGAAGGUUUUCGGAUCGUAAAGCUCUGUUGUUGGUGAAGAAGGAUAGAGGUAGUAACUGGCCUUUAUUUGACGGUAAUCAACCAGAAAGUCACGGCUAACUACGUGCCAGCAGCCGCGGUAAUACGUAGGUGGCAAGCGUUGUCCGGAUUUAUUGGGCGUAAAGCGAGUGCAGGCGGUUCAAUAAGUCUGAUGUGAAAGCCUUCGGCUCAACCGGAGAAUUGCAUCAGAAACUGUUGAACUUGAGUGCAGAAGAGGAGAGUGGAACUCCAUGUGUAGCGGUGGAAUGCGUAGAUAUAUGGAAGAACACCAGUGGCGAAGGCGGCUCUCUGGUCUGCAACUGACGCUGAGGCUCGAAAGCAUGGGUAGCGAACAGGAUUAGAUACCCUGGUAGUCCAUGCCGUAAACGAUGAGUGCUAAGUGUUGGGAGGUUUCCGCCUCUCAGUGCUGCAGCUAACGCAUUAAGCACUCCGCCUGGGGAGUACGACCGCAAGGUUGAAACUCAAAGGAAUUGACGGGGGCCCGCACAAGCGGUGGAGCAUGUGGUUUAAUUCGAAGCAACGCGAAGAACCUUACCAGGUCUUGACAUCCAGUGCAAACCUAAGAGAUUAGGAGUUCCUUUCGGGGACGCUGAGACAGGUGGUGCAUGGCUGUCGUCAGCUCGUGUCGU
rnacentral:rRNA from 1 species